GCAGUCGUGGCCGAGUGGUUAAGGCGAAGGACUCCCCGUACAGGUUCGAAGCCUGUCGACUGCG
rnacentral:tRNA from 1 species